GCCAGUGUGGCAUAGUGGUUUGAGUGUUCUACUGCAAGUAUGGAGACCAGGGUUCAAUUCACAGCUUGGCCA